GCGGGGGUAGCCAAGCCAGGUAUGGCGGCAGGUUGCUAAGGCCAACCUGCAGAUACCUGUUGGCCCUUCGGGCCUCAGGGGUUCAAAUCCCCUCCCCCGCG
rnacentral:tRNA from 1 species